rnacentral:lncRNA from 1 species
CAACGGGAUCACGUGAGCGCAUCAUUUGUGUAUAAAAACUUUUUGCAGUCUCUGUUAUGAUUUUCAAGAUGGCGACUGUCAAUGUCUGGAGUAUGAAGUUGCUCUUUUCUCUUUUAAAAAUGCAUUUAGCUUUAUGAAAAAUCUACUGCAAAGUUAUAAUGGCGGCUUCAAGGUUCUGAUAGGUUAUUGCAACUUCUCUUGUUUCUCCAGAGUGUUCUUCAGGAAAUAUUCAAGAAAAACCAGUUUGCCAUGGUACGACUUUUGCGUACCUCUCAGGAGAAUAGACUACAUUCUAUUGCUAAGAAACUACAAUAAAGAGACCCUUUACAUGUUUUUACAUUGUUUAAAGUUGUUUUUGAAUUUUUCCUGUUGCUGGUUUUUUAGUUAUAACAAUUUACAUUCAGCCAUUUUGCUAA